rnacentral:rRNA from 1 species
CAGCCGCCGCGGUAAUACGAAGGGGGCUAGCGUUGCUCGGAAUGACUGGGCGUAAAGGGCGCGUAGGCGGCACGAUUAGUCAGGCGUGAAAUUCCUGGGCUCAACCUGGGGACUGCGCUUGAUACGGUCGAGCUAGAGGAUGGAAGAGGGUUGUGGAAUUCCCAGUGUAGAGGUGAGAUUCGUAGAUAUUGGGAAGAACACCGGUGGCGAAGGCGGCAACCUGGUCCAUUACUGACGCUGAGGCGCGACAGCGUGGGGAGCAAACAGGAUUAGAGACCCUAGUAGUCCCUGUCUCUUAUAC